rnacentral:rRNA from 3 species
CUGGAGGUAUCAGAAGUGCGAAUGCUGACAUAAGUAACGAUAAAGCGGGUGAAAAGCCCGCUCGCCGGAAGACCAAGGGUUCCUGUCCAACGUUAAUCGGGGCAGGGUGAGUCGACCCCUAAGGCGAGGCCGAAAGGCGUAGUCGAUGGGAAACGGGUUAAUAUUCCCGUACUUGGUGUUACUGCGAAGGGGGGACGGAGAAGGCUAUGUUGGCCGGGCGACGGUUGUCCCGGUUUAAGCGUGUAGGUGUGUGUUCCAGGUAAAUCCGGUUCACUUUAACACU